rnacentral:rRNA from 1 species
AAAUUGAAGAGUUUGAUCAUGGCUCAGAUUGAACGCUGGCGGCAGGCCUAACACAUGCAAGUCGAGCGGUAGCACAGAGAGCUUGCUCUCGGGUGACGAGCGGCGGACGGGUGAGUAAUGUCUGGGAAACUGCCUGAUGGAGGGGGAUAACUACUGGAAACGGUAGCUAAUACCGCAUAACGUCGCAAGACCAAAGUGGGGGACCUUCGGGCCUCAUGCCAUCAGAUGUGCCCAGAUGGGAUUAGCUAGUAGGUGGGGUAACGGCUCACCUAGGCGACGAUCCCUAGCUGGUCUGAGAGGAUGACCAGCCACACUGGAACUGAGACACGGUCCAGACUCCUACGGGAGGCAGCAGUGGGGAAUAUUGCACAAUGGGCGCAAGCCUGAUGCAGCCAUGCCGCGUGUGUGAAGAAGGCCUUCGGGUUGUAAAGCACUUUCAGCGGGGAGGAAGGCGGUGAGGUUAAUAACCUUGGCGAUUGACGUUACCCGCAGAAGAAGCACCGGCUAACUCCGUGCCAGCAGCCGCGGUAAUACGGAGGGUGCAAGCGUUAAUCGGAAUUACUGGGCGUAAAGCGCACGCAGGCGGUCUGUCAAGUCGGA